rnacentral:lncRNA from 1 species
CCCAAAUAAUUUUAAACACCUUAGUGGCACUAAGACAUGAAUAUUGGAUGGCUAAAGUAUACUUCAGAUUUUUAGUCUCAUUUGAGACCCAUUUACGACAUAGAAAACAUUCGAUUUGGAAAAUGAUAUCUAAAGAAAAGUUGUAGCUUACCCUUUAGACCUUUUUGAAGAAGGUUCUGUUACUAACAUGUUUACUUCCAUUGUAGGUAAUGUAUUUGGGUUCAAAGCCCUGCGUGCUCUACGUCUGGAAGAUCUGCGAAUCCCCACUGCUUAUAUUAAAACUUUCCUUUGAGUUAGCUUUCCAACG